UACGGAGGGUGCAAGCGUUGUUCGGAAUUAUUGGGCGUAGAGCGCGCGCAGGCGGUCUGAAAAGUCUAUGGGUGAAAUACCGGGGCUCAACCCCGCGUAUGCCCAGGAUACUGUCAGACUGGAGACACGUAGAGGCAAGCGGAAUUUCGGGUGUAGCGGUGGAAUGCGUAGAUAUCCGAAAGAACACCGGAGGCGAAGGCGGCUUGCUGGGCGUGAUCUGACGCUGAGGCGCGAAAGCGUGGGGAGCGAACAGG
rnacentral:rRNA from 1 species